CAAUGGCGACGACUCGAUAUCUCCUACUCCUAGCUCUCAUCGCCUUCCUCCUCGUCUCCCCUUCCCUAUCCAAACAACCCACUAACUCUCCGGAUAACGACGAUGACGAGGACCUCAGCUUCCUUGAGGACGAGGUAGCUGAUGCUGAUCGCAUUGGAUCUUCUUCCCUCCACGAUUCCGAUCAUUUCGACCACGAUGACGAGGACGCCGACUUUGACAACGAAGGAGGGGAAGACUUCGAUAACUUCUCGGACUUCGACGACUCCGAUUCCGAUCCUUUCAAGCAGCCCGAGGUCGACGAGAAGGACGUCGUGGUACUGAACGAAGGGAAUUUCAGUGAUUUCGUCAAGGAGCG
rnacentral:lncRNA from 1 species